rnacentral:sRNA from 1 species
GUAUUUAACGCUAUAUACCCAUUGUCACAGGAGUGGCUGGCUGCGCGCAUUUAACCGAAGUAUUUAUGUGAUUCUAUCGGAAUUAUCUCUAUUGCCGCUCAAUGCUACGUCAUAUUCAGUGGGUAUAAAUCGCCAAUAUAGUUGUAACGCUAUUUAUUUUU